GGGCGUUAAGUUGCAGGGUAUAGACCCGAAACCCGGUGAUCUAGCCAUGGGCAGGUUGAAGGUUGGGUAACACUAACUGGAGGACCGAACCGACUAAUGUUGAAAAAUUAGCGGAUGACCUGUGGCUGGGGGUGAAAGGCCAAUCAAACCGGGAGAUAGCUGGUUCUCCCCGAAAGCUAUUUAGGUAGCGCCUCGUGAAUUCAUCUCCGGGGGUAGAGCACUGUUUCGGCUAGGGGGCCAUCCCGGCUUACCAACCCGAUGCAAACUGCGAAUACCGGAGAAUGUUAUCACGGGAGACACACGGCGGGUGCUAACGUCCGUCGUGAAGAGGGAAACAACCCAGACCGCCAGCUAAGGUCCCAAAGUCAUGGUUAAGUGGGAAACGAUGUGGGAAGGCCCAGACAGCCAGGAUGUUGGCUUAGAAGCAGCCAUCAUUUAAAGAAAGCGUAAUAGCUCACUGGUCGAGUCGGCCUGCGCGGAAGAUGUAACGGGGCUAAACCAUGCACCGAAGCUGCGGCAGCGAACGUAUCACUUAAAGCGAUUCAGCGGGUUACGAUUGACGGAGCGAAGCGACGUCAAAGCGUAUACAAAGUCGAGUCGGUUUAAGGAUACGUUCGUUGGGUAGGGGAGCGUUCUGUAAGCCUGUGAAGGUGKSYYGUGAGGSWUGCUGGAGGUAUCAGAAGUGCGAAUGCUGACAUAAGUAACGAUAAAGCGGGUGAAAAGCCCGCUCGCCGGAAGACCAAGGGUUCCUGUCCAACGUUAAUCGGGGCAGGGUGAGUCGACCCCUAAGGCGAGGCCGAAAGGCGUAGUCGAUGGGAAACGGGUUAAUAUUCCCGUACUUGGUGUUACUGCGAAGGGGGGACGGAGAAGGCUAUGUUGGCCGGGCGACGGUUGUCCCGGUUUAAGCGUGUAGGUGUGUGUUCCAGGUAAAUCCGGUUCACUUUAACACUGAGGCGUGACGACGAGGCACUACGGUGCUGAAGCAACAAAUGCCCUGCUUCCAGGAAAAGCCUCUAAGCAUCAGGUAACAUCAAAUCGUACCCCAAACCGACACAGGUGGUCAGGUAGAGAAUACCAAGGCGCUUGAGAGAACUCGGGUGAAGGAACUAGGCAAAAUGGUGCCGUAACUUCGGGAGAAGGCACGCUGACAYGUAGGUGAAGUGAUUUACUCAUGGAGCUGAAGUCAGUCGAAGAUACCAGCUGGCUGCAACUGUUUAUUAAAAACACAGCACUGUGCAAACACGAAAGUGGACGUAUACGGUGUGACGCCUGCCCGGUGCCGGAAGGUUAAUUGAUGGGGUCAGCGCAAGCGAAGCUCCUGAUCGAAGCCCCGGUAAACGGCGGCCGUAACUAUAACGGUCCUAAGGUAGCGAAAUUCCUUGUCGGGUAAGUUCCGACCUGCACGAAUGGCGUAAUGAUGGCCAGGCUGUCUCCACCCGAGACUCAGUGAAAUUGAACUCGCUGUGAAGAUGCAGUGUACCCGCGGCAAGACGGAAAGACCCCGUGAACCUUUACUAUAGCUUGACACUGAACAUUGAGCCUUGAUGUGUAGGAUAGGUGGGAGGCUUUGAAGUGUGGACGCCAGUCUGCAUGGAGCCGACCUUGAAAUACCACCCUUUAAUGUUUGAUGUUCUAACGUGGACCCGUAAUCCGGGUUGCGGACAGUGUCUGGUGGGUAGUUUGACUGGGGCGGUCUCCUCCUAAAGAGUAACGGAGGAGCACGAAGGUUGGCUAAUCCUGGUCGGACAUCAGGAGGUUAGUGCAAUGGCAUAAGCCAGCUUGACUGCGAGCGUGACGGCGCGAGCAGGUGCGAAAGCAGGUCAUAGUGAUCCGGUGGUUCUGAAUGGAAGGGCCAUCGCUCAACGGAUAAAAGGUACUCCGGGGAUAACAGGCUGAUACCGCCCAAGAGUUCAUAUCGACGGCGGUGUUUGGCACCUCGAUGUCGGCUCAUCACAUCCUGGGGCUGAAGUAGGUCCCAAGGGUAUGGCUGUUCGCCAUUUAAAGUGGUACGCGAGCUGGGUUUAGAACGUCGUGAGACAGUUCGGUCCCUAUCUGCCGUGGGCGCUGGAGAACUGAGGGGGGCUGCUCCUAGUACGAGAGGACCGGAGUGGACGCAUCACUGGUGUUCGGGUUGUCAUGCCAAUGGCACUGCCCGGUAGCUAAAUGCGGAAGAGAUAAGUGCUGAAAGCAUCUAAGCACGAAACUUGCCCCGAGAUGAGUUCUCCCUGAGACUU
rnacentral:rRNA from 1 species